rnacentral:lncRNA from 1 species
UUCCUUUUACCAUAAAAAUGAUAACUUCUUACCACAAUAAUAAUAUCCCUUACCUUAGCAUGUGACUUGAUUCUGCUUUCUGUGAAAUUGAUCAACUUAAACAAUGCUUGCAUUCCUUAUCUACACUUGGAGUAACAUUACACUCAAUAGAAAUACUCACAAUAUUAUACUCACAAUAUCGUAGUAAAAGAAUUCUAUAUUUUUAGUGUAGUGAUGGUGUCUGUUUAGUUGCUUAACCGGGCAACCUAUUUAUACUGAAAAUUUAGUAAACAACUAGCACACCUGUUUUGACAAAAUAAUCAAAUGAGGUAUAUAAUAAUGGUAGUGGAAUUUAUGGUCCCAUAGAGAAAAUUAAACCAACUUGUACACGUUUUAACAAUAUUUGUUCAAUAAUAGAGUUGUGGUCCAUACUACUUUAGGAAAAGUAGAGUGUCGGCAAGUCCUGCCAAACUUACUUUUGUAAAAAGAAAAUAAUUGAACAAACAUCUAUAUAUCAUACUUAUCUUUAAUCAACACCUUAUAUUCAUCAAUUAUUUACACAUCUUCAAUCUUUCAACAAUUAUUCAUAAUUAUUAACAUAGACUCACAAUACUGCCAACUGGUUUAAUUAUAUCAUAUCAAAUAAUAUGAGUCACUGUGCAAUAACUACUGUGACAAUUAUUGAUUGAAAGACUGAGUAAGAAUCAAUAAUAUGAAUCAUUGUGCAAUAACUACUGUGACAAUUAUUGAAUGAAAUACAUAGUGACUUCUUACGUAAGAACCAAAUCAAUAUCUUACUAUAAACAAUUUAAAUUCUAUUAAAAGUAGGGAUCAACACCAAAUCAUUUUUAUCUCGAAUAACAUAUAAACCAACUAACAAUUCAUUAUUCAAUCAAGUUGUCUUUAUUUAUCACAUAAAAGCAUUAUUCAUAUUCCAAAACUUUAGAAGUGAAUAAUAAAACUUGAGAAAUAUACAACCUCAUAUAUGACAAUCCAUUAUUCUGAUAUUACCACCAUUUUUACUUUAACAAAAAUAUCAUUUUUUGUUUUUAUUGUAAAUCAUUCGUUACUAGUGUGUUUACAUUCCCACACCUCAUGAGCUUACUAACACUUCUAAAAUAUUUAAAAAUAUGAUUAUGAACUUUUCAAAUAAUUUUCAUAUUUUUUAGAUUAUCCAACAAUUUUCUAUAAUUAUUUCUAUUUAUAAAAAGUAUCAUUUAAUAGCUUCAAAAUAGAAAUACUAACUUCACAUACUUUUAUAUCAUUAAAACAUCAUCAAUAUUAAUCUUAUAUUAUUAUAAUAUUUUUCAGCAAAAUUCAUAAUUUUCAACCAUUCAUAGAAUUUUCAAUGAAUUUUCUCUAUUUUUAAACUAACCAUAAAUGGCUUAAAAAAUAUAAUAAAUAUUUCUGUUAUUAAAUUUUUUUCCAAAACUGUCAAAAAAUUAUAAAACAAUAUUAUACCAUUUUUCACCAAGUUUCAAAAUUUUUCAUCAUUCAUAGAAUUUUCUAUGAAUUUCUUCUAUUUUCAAACUAACUAUAAAUAAUUUAAAAAUACAAUAAUUAAUUCUGCUUUUCAAUAAUUCAUCAAAAUUUUACAGAAAUUCUAAGAUGCUAUUAUAAGCAUUUUGUAAAAAUAUUUCAACCCAAAUAAUUUUUCUGAUAAAUUAAUUAUAAACUCCAAUAUUCAGAAAUUUCAAUAAUUCACAAUAAUUAUCAGUUUUAUCAGAAAAAAUACAAAUCUUAUGUCCUUCCAUUAAAAAUUUAAUUCUCUACAACUUUAUACAAGAAAGUUUGUCCAAAUUCUUACUCUAACAUAGAGAGAAGGCUUACCGAAAAAUUCUGCUACAAUAAUUUCUGGAUUAGUCACCUCCUUAAAUUCAUAACAAAUCAUAAUUUAAUCUUUAACGGUUCAAAAUUUGUGGACAUAUACUCAACUUAUAUAUUUAUAACAUAUCUGAAAAUUACAACGAUCCAACGGUCGGAUUAAAAAUUAUAACUCAUGCAAUAAGGCUUAAGAACACUGAUUUUUCAGACUACGAGUCCUCCGCACCAGUUUCACUCAAACUGUCACCACGAAAAAUCCACAAAGAAUUUUUGGGUGAUUCUAGUUUCUAUGGUUAGCUUACUUCCAGGAAUUUCUUUUGAUAUAUAGCUCAUCUCCUAACUCAUUAUACACAAAGAGUUAUGGAUUUUACAAAAUCAAGUAGUAAACUAAUUUUUAUGAAAAUUUCCAGAUUUUGUUCUUCUUUUGAUUUCUAAAUUUCUCUCACUUGAUUCAUGUUUAUACAAGUUUAAAUCAUCUAAAUCAAGUAUAAACAAAACCUCUUCAUAUAAAAUUCAUUAAAACUUAAAUCAAAAAAUAAAUUAAGAAUUUUAAAAAUACCUCUUUAUCAAAUUCCUUUUUCUUUCAUCAUUCCUUUCUUCUUCAUCAUCUUCUUCUGAUUCUCUCUUUCUCUCUCUCUCUCUCUUCUCUAUUUUUUUGAUAACUCCCGUGAGUUGUAAUGGGUGAGAAGGGAGUAUCCUUUUUCCUUCUUUUAUUUCUCUUUCUU